ensembl:lncRNA
GUAACCACUGACUUAUUUCUGCUCACCGACCCCAUUCAGCCCAUGCCUACAAACUCUGGGUUCUCCUCCCUCACCCAGCCCAGCUCACCUCCUCUUUGUACCUUGGGACAGCUGCUAUGGGCCCACCCUGCUCAAUCGAACUGAGGUCCUGCAUGGGCUUGGAGCGACCCCAAAUGCCCUUUUGGGGGAUGCCCUUUGGUCACAGCUGGCUCCCAGCCCAGGGAAAACACCCGCAGUUGGAAAGUGGUUCCCUGGGUGCCAGAUAGGACAUGAAGUCCCAUUGUGCUGCUGGUGGAGGAGCUGCUGGGGGGCACCCAGCCCACAGCAGGGGGUUGGUCCCGCAUGGCCAUUGAGGUCCCUUCCAACCCAACCAUUCAGUGAUUCUAAAACUGCUCCAGGAUGCCCCGGCAUCCACUUGGCUCCGGGCUGUGGGAACCGGUGGCAUCGCCUGUGCUGUUGCCAUGGGGUUGCCAUGGUAUUUGUCUCUGCUGUUGCCAUGCAGAAAGGAGGAGGUUGGGAAUGUGGGGUUGCUGCCAGGGCCACCAGCACGUCCCCGGGCCCUGCAGUGAGGAGUCAUGGGUCGGACUUGGCCCACAGCUCCCCAGGUCCUCCUCCUUGCACUUCUUGAAGCUAGGACUGACAUCACUUCUCCCAAGGAACACAAGCUCACCACUAGUAUAGCAGCAAAUAGAUUUAUGACUGAUUUCUUGCACGCACGUGGAUACACACAUAUCCAACGUGUCACCAGCGCACAGCACUGUAGAGGAAGAGGGCCACCAAAAGGACAAGGGCCUGGAGCAGGGUGACACAGUGCAGCACUGCCACUACUUCUGGGGCAGAGCAUGGAGGAGCACUGGGAGCAAGUGGGGAGCCCCCCAGCAGGUCAGUCUGCACAGGGCCCGUGCAUGAGGCACCCUUCUCCUUCUUGUGCACCAUCACCAGGGAUCAGGCCAGGUAAAGAUGGGUGGUAGCUGCCCCUGGGCUUCCCCUGCUGGGGGGUGACAGAGUGCACUGAUUGGGACUCAGGGCCACAGCAGCCAUUGUGUGUCUGAGGGAUGUCACCAUUGCGUCACAGACAUGGCCUUGUUUUGAGUGGCUCCAUGCUGUGGCCCUCUAUCAGAAGAGCAGCUGGGAGGAGGAGGGCUGUUGUUAAGAGCUGUGUGGUCAUGCUGGUGGCCACACACUUAAUAUGACUUCCAAGCAGAAGAUGAAGCUAUGGAUUCUGGCAAUCAUGACAAUCCUCCCAGCCCUCAGCAUCUGGGGUCGCUGGGGCCACAGGGUGUUCUGCAUCAUUAUUCUGCUGGGCAUAGCAGUGCUGGCCAUCCUCAUGGCCAGGAGGCAUCACAACAACGACAAGGUAGGAGCCAGCUGGUGUCAUCCAAACGCUGCCUGGGCACAGCCUGGUAC